AACGAACGCUGGCGGCAUGCCUAACACAUGCAAGUCGAACGAGACCUUCGGGUCUAGUGGCGCACGGGUGCGUAACGCGUGGGAACCUGCCUUUAGGUUCGGAAUAACUCAGAGAAAUUUGAGCUAAUACCGGAUAAUGUCUUCGGACCAAAGAUUUAUCGCCUUUAGAUGGGCCCGCGUUGGAUUAGCUAGUUGGUGGGGUAAAGGCCUACCAAGGCGACGAUCCAUAGCUGGUCUGAGAGGAUGAUCAGCCACACUGGGACUGAGACACGGCCCAGACUCCUACGGGAGGCAGCAGUGGGGAAUAUUGGACAAUGGGCGAAAGCCUGAUCCAGCAAUGCCGCGUGAGUGAUGAAGGCCUUAGGGUGUAAAGCUCUUUUACCCGAGAUGAUAAUGACAGUAUCGGGAGAAUAAGCUCCGGCUAACUCCGUGCCAGCAGCGCGGUAAU
rnacentral:rRNA from 1 species